UACGUAGGUGGCAAGCGUUGUCCGGAUUUACUGGGCGUAAAGAGCGCGCAGGCGGUCGAUCAAGUCGAGUGUGAAAGCCCCGGCUCAACUGGGGAGGGUCAUUCGAUACUGAUCGACUCGAAGGCAGGAGAGGGUAGUGGAAUUCCCGGUGUAGUGGUGAAAUGCGUAGAUAUCGGGAGGAACACCAGUGGCGAAGGCGACUACCUGGCCUGUUCUUGACGCUGAGGCGCGAAAGCUAGGGGAGCAAACGGGG
rnacentral:rRNA from 1 species